GACGAACGCUGGCGGCGUGCUUAACACAUGCCAGUCGAACGAAGAGCGAUGGAAGCUUGCUUCUAUCAAUCUUAGUGGCGAACGGGUGAGUAACGCGUAAUCAACCUGCCCUUCAGAGGGGGACAACAGUUGGAAACGACUGCUAAUACCGCAUACGAUCUAAUCUCGGCAUCGAGGAUAGAUGAAAGGUGGCCUCUACAUGUAAGCUAUCACUGAAGGAGGGGAUUGCGUCUGAUUAGCUAGUUGGAGGGGUAACGGCCCACCAAGGCGAUGAUCAGUAGCCGGUCUGGGAGGAUGAACGGCCACAUUGGGACUGAGACACGGCCCAGACUCCUACGGGAGGCAGCAGUGGGGAAUCUUCCGCAAUGGACGAAAGUCUGACGGAGAAACGCCGCGUGAGUGAGGACGGCCUUCGGGUUGUAAAGCUCUGUUAAUCGGGACGAAAGGCCUUCUUGCGAAUAGUGAGAAGGAUUGACGGUACCGGAAUAGAAAGCCACGGCUAACUACGUG
rnacentral:rRNA from 1 species